rnacentral:rRNA from 1 species
UGCCAGCAGCCGCGGUAAUACGGAGGGUGCAAGCGUUGCUCGGAAUCACUGGGCGUAAAGGGGAGGCAGGCGGUCUAGUAUGUCUGGGGUGAAAGCCCGGAGCUCAACUCCGGAGGGUCCUCAGAAACUACCAGACUAGAAUCCUGGAGAGGGUAGCGGAAUUCCCAGUGUAGCGGUGAAAUGCGUAGAUAUCGGGAGGAACACCAGAGGCGAAGGCGGCUACCUGGACAGGCAUUGACGCUAAACUCCGAAAGCGUGGGGAGCAAACAGGAUUAGAUA